CCUACGUGAGGCAGCAGUGAGGAAUAUUGGUCAAUGGGCGCGAGCCUGAACCAGCCAAGUCGCGUGAGGGAGGACGGCCCUACGGGUUGUAAACCUCUUUUGCCGGGGAGCAACGGGCGUCACGUGAGGCGCCACUGAGAGUACCCGGCGAAAAAGCAUCGGCUAACUCCGUGCCAGACGCCGCGGUAAUACGGAGGAUGCGAGCGUUAUCCGGAUUUUUUGGGUUGAAAGGGUGGGUAGGCGGAUGGUUAAGUCAGGGGUCAAAUCGAGGGGCUAAACCCCUUCCCGCCAUUGAAACUGGCGCUAGUGAGUGGAAGAGAAGUAUGCGGAAGGCGUGGUGUAGCGGGGAAAUGCAUAGAUAUCACGCAGAACCCCGAUUGCGAAGGGAGCAUGCCGGCUUCCGACUGACGCUGAAGCACGAAAGCGUGGGGAUCGAACAGGAUUAGAUACCCCAGUAGUC
rnacentral:rRNA from 1 species